rnacentral:rRNA from 1 species
GAUGAACGCUGGCGGCGUGCCUAAUACAUGCAAGUCGAGCGAACAGACGAGGAGCUUGCUCCUCUGACGUUAGCGGCGGACGGGUGAGUAACACGUGGAUAACCUACCUAUAAGACUGGGAUAACUUCGGGAAACCGGAGCUAAUACCGGAUAAUAUAUUGAACCGCAUUGUUCAAUAGUGAAAGACGGUUUUGCUGUCACUUAUAGAUGGAUCCGCGCCGCAUUAGCUAGUUGGUAAGGUAACGGCUUACCAAGGCAACGAUGCGUAGCCGACCUGAGAGGGUGAUCGGCCACACUGGAGCUGAGACACGGUCCAGACGCCUACGGGAGGCAGCAGUAGGGAAUCUUCCGCAAUGGGCGAAAGCCUGACGGAGCAACGCCGCGUGAGUGAUGAAGGUCUUCGGAUCGUAAAACUCUGUUAUUAGGGAAGAACAAAUGUGUAAGUAACUAUGCACGUCUUGACGGUACCUAAUCAGAAAGCCACGGCUAACUACGUG